rnacentral:rRNA from 1 species
AACGAACGCUGGCGGCAUGCCUAACACAUGCAAGUCGAACGAGACCUUCGUGUCUAUUUGCGCACGGGUGCUUAACGCGUGGUAACCUGCCCUUAGGUUCGGAAUAACUCCCCGAAAGGUGUGCUAAUACCAGAUAAUGUCUUCGGACCAAAGAGUUAUUGCUUUUGGAUGGGCCCGCGUUGGAUUAGCUAGUUGGUAGGGUAAAAGCCUACCAAGGACACGAUCCAUAGCUGGUCGGGGAGGAUGAUCAGCCAGACUGGGACUGAGACACGGCCCAGAAUCGUACGGAAGGGAGCAGUGUGGAAUAUUGGACAAUGGACGAAGGUGUGAUCAAGCAAUGCGGCGUGAGUGAUGAAGGGCUUAGGGUUGUAAAGUUGUUUUACACGGGAUGAUAAUGACAGUAACGGGAGAAUAAGCUCCGGCUAACUACGUG